UUGUAGUUCUGCUCUAUGGGUGUGGGGUUCUGACUAUCGCACACAAUUUGGUAAACUGAAAUCAACAUGUAAACAACGCAUGGACCAAAAUAGGUCUGGUCCAAGCCCUUUAGCUUACUUAUUCUAUCUUUAUGUCAUCUUGUGAAGAAUAUGGCAUUAUUUGUUCGUAAGAAAAUGAUUAUCGGAAGCAACAGGCUAAGCAACAUUGCUUAUCACAAGGAGAUUCG
rnacentral:lncRNA from 1 species